UCGGAUGGAGAUGAGUAUUUAAACUUUUCUUCGCAGGGAACUAAAACCCUAGCCGACAGAGGGGUAAUUGGAUAAAAAGAAGAAGGGCAGCCAGGGAAAGAAUUAAAUGCAAGAGAAGGAGGUCGACCACCGUCGUCGCUGCACCGAAGCCACCGCCGACACCAAAACAAGUAUUUAUUCCCCUUUCUGUUCGGAAUUCAAUCUCGAGUCACCCUAUGCCCAUAUCAGAGUCAAAUGGUCGACGGGUGAGUCAAAAAUCGCAGACAAAACUCGACCAAACCGCCGCAGCCAAAACCCAAAACCCUCUCCGAUGACCCCCUUCCUGUUUUUCGUUUCGUGU
rnacentral:lncRNA from 1 species